rnacentral:rRNA from 1 species
GGAUGCGAUCAUACCAGCUCACAUGCACCGGAUCCCAUCCGAACUCCGAAGUUAAACGAGUUUGGGCGAGAGUAGUACUAGGGUGGUGAUCUCCUGGGAAGUUCUCGUGUUGCAUCCC